UACGGAGGGAGCUAGCGUUGUUCGGAAUUACUGGGCGUAAAGCGCACGUAGGCGGCUUUUUAAGUCAGGGGUGAAAUCCUGGGGCUCAACCCCGGAACUGCCCUUGAAACUGGAGAGCUAGAAUCUUGGAGAGGCGAGUGGAAUUCCGAGUGUAGAGGUGAAAUUCGUAGAUAUUCGGAAGAACACCAGUGGCGAAGGCGACUCGCUGGACAAGUAUUGACGCUGAGGUGCGAAAGCGUGGGGAGCAAACAGG
rnacentral:rRNA from 1 species